AACGUAGGAGACAAACGUUAUCCGGAGUUACUGGGCGUAAAGGGCGUGCAGGUGGUCUGUUAAGUCUGGCGUGAAAGCUCCUGGCUAAACCGGGAGAGGUCGUUGGAUACUGGCGGACUAGAGGACGGUAGAGGCGUGUGGAAUUCCGGGUGUAGUGGUGAAAUGCGUAGAGAUCCGGAGGAACACCAGUGGCGAAGGCGACUACCUGGCCUGUUCUUGACGCUGAGGCGCGAAAGCUAGGGGAGCAAACGGG
rnacentral:rRNA from 1 species